rnacentral:sRNA from 1 species
CCAAGAAGUAUUAGACGUGGCUGAUCGUCAAGACAGCGAUAAGCGCCGUACACCUAACGGCAGACCCCAAGAAACGAUCAACGUUAACCUGCGCGCGUAAUCUUGCGGCAAACAGAAGUAUUAAAAGUGUCUUAUCGGAGCAUGUGAGCAAUGAAAUUACCCAUUUAUUUGGACUAUUC